ensembl:lncRNA
GAUCGUUGAUCUUCCCUGCGUCUCUCAUUGCACUGUACAGGUCAUUUCCGUGGAUCAAAACAGCAUUCAGGUCACUUCUUGUCCACUGCAACACACUUUUCAUCUUACACAUCACAAUUGCAGUUAAACUGUUUGCACCACAUUGGCUUCCCCUAUUCCAGCCAAAACGGUAAUCUCCUUGAUGGAAAGAGCCUCUGAUAUAGGAAGUCUGUGGAGACAAAGAAGAAACAGCAUGCAUAGUCAUCUCAGCAUCUUUUGGAAACUUUGGCAUAGACUUUGAAUUAGCGUCUGAAUCAGACUUUGGGUCAGAGUUUGGGUAAGAUUCGGAAUAUUUGGCAAAUUCGGAACAAUCGGCAAAUUCGGAACAAUCGGAAAAUUCGGAACAAUUGGCAAAUUCGGAACAAUUGGCAAAAGUAGGAUCAGGCUCUUGUAUUUCUUUUCUUUUUUUAACAGGUGACAAGAUCUCUUCAGGAUUAGCAGCUAGCCGGUUCACGAUUCUCUUCUUGGCUGCCUGAGAACGCUGAGACUGCUUCGUCCGAGGCAUCUGUUGGCCGAGACCACCUCAGAGGCCUUAAUGUGCUUGAACCCCGGUAAUCGCUGCUUGCAGCUUUAAUUAUUAUUAUUAUUAUUAUUAUUAUUAUUUUUCUGCCCUAAAACUGAUCGUGCAGACCAAACCGUAAGGCCUAGAGACUUGAAAUUUGGCCAGAUUGUAGAGCUCAAUUUGGGGAGAACCUAUCAAAGUCUCGACCCAAUCGGCCAAACGGGGGCGCUACAGCGCAAAAAACAAAAAUUUUAGACAUUUUUGGCUGUAGCUCGUAAACCGUUUGUCGUAGACUCAAAAACAUGGCAUCGUUGCAAUCCUUGGGUUAGCCCGAACAAAAUUGCUCUGCUGGUUUUUUCGCUCUACGGCGCAUCGUUUUCUCGCAAAAUCGAGUUAUAUCUGAAACCUACUUUUGCGAACUAGUCCUAGGUUUUUCACCCGAUCAGAACCAAACCACUGCAGAAAUAUUCUCUGGACACUCAUUAUCAAUAAUUAUCGAAAAAAACAUUUGAAAUUUUGAUUCUUACGCGAAACAGUACGCCAAAAAGCGUCUAUGCUAACGUUAGCCAAAUGUUAUUUUAGCUAUAACUCUUGAACGGAAUGAGAUAUCUUCAUCAAACUCGGUACACAUUUGUAUAAGCUCAAUCUUUGGUCAAAUAAAAAAAAUUGCGCACCUCUGCCACUUGGGGGCGCUAUAAGACAGAAAAAACACAUAAAUAGCUAUAACUAGGCAACGGUUGGUCCGAUCGACUUGAAAAAUGGUAUGCAGUUUCUUUGUCUGAAGGGGCAAUAUUGUCUAUGAGGACAUUCGCGUAUCUCAAAAAACAUGGCCGCCAUUGGCCAAUGAAAUUUAAGCAACUAUUUGACAGGGUUAACGGAGGUCGAUCGGAACGAAACUCAGUGGGCAUGUUCGACUUAUGGCCCUUAAGGUCUGUAAGAAUUUUGAAAGAAAUCGGCCACUAGGGGGCGAAAUUGCGUUUUUCAAGUACGUAAACGAUUGUAUAUUGUACAAUUUUUCACACAUCAACAAAAUAUGCAUAUCAUUGGAUAGAUCUCCUCAUACCAAGCAACUUUGUGUCAAGAACCAUUGCUGUCAAUCAAAUUGUUCAUUAAAUAUUCUCAAUU